GUGGAUAUAGCUCAGCCGGUAGAGCAGCUGAUUGUGGUUCAGCAGGUCGCGCGUUCGAGUCGCGUUAUCCACCCCA
rnacentral:tRNA from 1 species